GCUUUCGUGGUGUAACGGUAGCACACUCAGAACGUAUUCGAGAGGUCCAGGUUCGAGUCCUGGCGAGGGCG
rnacentral:tRNA from 1 species